ACCUACGGGGCGCAGCAGUGGGGAAUAUUGCACAAUGGGGGAAACCCUGAUGCAGCGACGCCGCGUGAGUGAAGAAGUAUUUCGGUAUGUAAAGCUCUAUCAGCAGGGAAGAAAAAAGACGGUACCUGACUAAGAAGCCCCGGCUAACUACGUGCCAGCAGCCGCGGUAAUACGUAGGGGGCAAGCGUUAUCCGGAUUUACUGGGUGUAAAGGGUGCGUAGGCGGGCUUUUAAGUCAGCGGUAAAAAUUCGGGGCUCAACCCCGUCCGGCCGUUGAAACUGGGGGCCUUGAG
rnacentral:rRNA from 1 species